CAUGCUUGAGGCUUUUCAGGUGUGGUUGCUGUGUCAUAUGUACAUCAGUAGGUGGCAGUGAGGAGAGAGGCUAUGUCUGUGCUCAGUGUUCUGACCUAGGAACAUCUGGAUGAUUAGUAGCUUAACAUU